rnacentral:lncRNA from 1 species
UUAGACGGCGUCUAAGCACAGCCCCACCGGGGGCACUUGGCUUAAUGUUGGUCCGGUUCAAUACUGCAGUCGCAUGGUCCUACCUACAUGGACAGGCUUGGGCCAUGUGCCCGCUAAAUCAAUAUGAGAGCCAGACGUCGCCGUGGGUCUGACCGGUGGCUCAUCAAUUCCUUACCUAAAAUGAGCCGUCGAGUUAUCAACAUUAGCCACGGCCGGGGUGGUGGCCGGCCAAGUUUUUUUUUAAAAAAAAACUCAUAUUCUUGCAUUAUCCCACAUCGAAAAAAAAAAAUCGAAGAAGCUGAUGGACCGCAAAGUCCCACAUUGGAAAAACGAGAAAGAAAUUUCCCCAGAAGCUGAUGGCUUCCAAGCGUCAAAGCUCAUACACAAAAUAAAACCCAUUGUUAUCAAAGACUUGUUUCAAAAUAUUUUCAUAUACGGCCUUAAAGAGUGAAAACCCAGAGUUUCAGUUUCACAAAUUGAAAAGCCAAAACCAAAAGAAGGUGAUAUUGGUGGGAU